UACGGAGGGGGCUAGCGUUGUUCGGAAUUACUGGGCGUAAAGCGCACGUAGGCGGCUUUGCAAGUUAGAGGUGAAAGCCCGGGGCUCAACUCCGGAAUUGCCUUUAAAGUACUGCAUCGCUAGAAUUGUGGAGAGGUAAGUGGAAUUCCGAGUGUAGAGGUGAAAUUCGUAGAUAUUCGGAAGAACACCAGUGGCGAAGGCGACUUACUGGACACAUAUUGACGCUGAGGUGCGAAAGCGUGGGGAGCAAACAGGAUUAGAUACCCGUGAG
rnacentral:rRNA from 1 species